rnacentral:tRNA from 1 species
UCCCUGAUAGCUCAGUUGGUAAAGAAUCUGCUUGCAAUGCAGGAGAUCCUGGUUCAGUUCCUGGGCUGGGAA